rnacentral:rRNA from 1 species
GCAGUCGAAGCUUCUUUCUCCCGAGUGCUUGCACUCGAUUGGAAAGAGGAGUGGCGGACGGGUGAGUAACACGUGGGUAACCUACCCAUCAGAGGGGGAUAACACUUGGAAACAGGUGCUAAUACCGCAUAACAGUUUAUGCCGCAUGGCAUAAAAGUGAAAGGCGCUUUCGGGUGUCGCUGAUGGAUGGACCCGCGGUGCAUUAGCUAGUUGGUGAGGUAACGGCUCACCAAGGCCACGAUGCAUAGCCGACCUGAGAGGGUGAUCGGCCACACUGGGACUGAGACACGGCCCAGACUCCUACGGGAGGCAGCAGUAGGGAAUCUUCGGCAAUGGACGAAAGUCUGACCGAGCAACGCCGCGUGAGUGAAGAAGGUUUUCGGAUCGUAAAACUCUGUUGUUAGAGAAGAACAAGGACGUUAGUAACUGAACGUCCCCUGACGGUAUCUAACCAGAAAGCCACGGCUAACUACGUGCCAGCAGCCGCGGUAAUACGUAGGUGGCAAGCGUUGUCCGGAUUUAUUGGGCGUAAAGCGAGCGCAGGCGGUUUCUUAAGUCUGAUGUGAAAGCCCCCGGCUCAACAGGGGAGGGUCAUUGGAAACUGGGAGACUUGAGUGCAGAAGAGGAGAGUGGAAUUCCAUGUGUAGCGGUGAAAUGCGUAGAUAUAUGGAGGGACCCAGUGGCGAAGCGGCUCUCUGGUCUGUACUGACGCUGAGCUCGAAGCGUGGGAGCAAC